rnacentral:rRNA from 1 species
UGGGGAAUUUUGGACAAUGGGCGAAAGCCUGAUCCAGCAAUGCCGCGUGUGUGAAGAAGGCCUUCGGGUUGUAAAGCACUUUUGUCCGGAAAGAAAUCCUUGGCUCUAAUACAGUCGGGGGAUGACGGUACCGGAAGAAUAAGCACCGGCUAACUACGUGCCAGCAGCCGCGGUAAUACGUAGGGUGCAAGCGUUAAUCGGAAUUACUGGGCGUAAAGCGUGCGCAGGCGGUUUGCUAAGACCGAUGUGAAAUCCCCGGGCUCAACCUGGGAACUGCAUUGGUGACUGGCAGGCUAGAGUAUGGCAGAGGGGGGUAGAAUUCCACGUGUAGCAGUGAAAUGCGUAGAGAUGUGGAGGAAUACCGAUGGCGAAGGCAGCCCCCUGGGCCAAAUACUGACGCUCAUGCACGAAAGCGUGGGGAGCAAACAGGAUUAGAUACCCUGGUAGUCCACGCCCUAAACGAUGUCAACUAGUUGUUGGGGAUUCAUUUCCUUAGUAACGUAGCUAACGCGUGAAGUUGACCGCCUGGGGAGUACGGUCGCAAGAUUAAAACUUAAAGGAAUUGAC